GAUGAACGCUUGCGGCAGGCUUAACACAUGCAAGUCGAGGGGUAUAGUUCUUCGGAACUAGAGACCGGCGCACGGGUGCGUAACGCGUAUGCAAUCUACCUUUUGCAGAGGGAUAGCCCAGAGAAAUUUGGAUUAAUACCUCAUGGUAUGUGAGAAUGGCAGCAUUUUCACAUUAAAGUCACAACGGCAAAAGAUUAGCAUGCGUCCCAUUAGCUUGUUGAUAAGGUAAAGGCUUACCAAGGCAACGAUGGGUAGGGGUCCUGAGAGGGAGAUCCCCCACACUGGUACUGAGACACGGACCAGACUCCUACGGGAGGCAGCAGUGAGGAAUAUUGGACAAUGGGCGCAAGCCUGAUCCAGCCAUGCCGCGUGCAGGAUGACGGUCCUAUGGAUUGUAAACUGCUUUUGUACAGGAAGAAACACUGGUUCGUGAACCAGCUUGACGGUACUGUAAGAAUAAGGAUCGGCUAACUCCGUGCCAGCCGCCGCAGUAACAC
rnacentral:rRNA from 1 species